rnacentral:rRNA from 1 species
AGAGUUUGAUCCUGGCUCAGAGCGAACGCUGGCGGCAGGCUUAACACAUGCAAGUCGAGCGGGCGUAGCAAUACGUCAGCGGCAGACGGGUAAGUAACGCGUGGGAACGUACCUUUUGGUUCGGAACAACACGGGGAAACUUGUGCUAAUACCGGAUAAGCCCUUACGGGGAAAGAUUUAUCGCCGAAAGAUCGGCCCGCGUCUGAUUAGCUAGUUGGUAGGGUAAUGGCCUACCAAGGCGACGAUCAGUAGCUGGUCUGAGAGGAUGAUCAGCCACAUUGGGACUGAGACACGGCCCAAACUCCUACGGGAGGCAGCAGUGGGGAAUAUUGGACAAUGGGGGCAACCCUGAUCCAGCCAUGCCGCGUGAGUGAUGAAGGCCCUAGGGUUGUAAAGCUCUUUUGUGCGGGAAGAUAAUGACGGUACCGCAAGAAUAAGCCCCGGCUAACUUCGUG